AUUGAACGCUGGCGGCAGGCCUAACACAUGCAAGUCGAACGAGUUGCGGACGGGAGUGUAAUGUCUGGGAAUCUGCCUGAUGGAGGGGGAUAACUACUGGAAACGGUAGCUAAUACAGCAUACCAUCGGAUUUGUCCCGAUGGGAUUAGCGAGUAGGUGGGGUAAAGGCUCACCUAGGCGACGAUCCCUGGUUGGUCUUAGAGGAUGACCAGCCACACUGGAACUGAGACACGGUCCAGACUCCUACGGGAGGCAGCAGUGGGGAAUAUUGCACAAUGGGCGCAAGCCUGAUGCAGCCAUGCCGCGUGUAUGAAGAAGGCCUUCGGGUUGUAAAGUACUUUCAGCGGGGAGGCGUUACCCGCAGAAGAAGCACCGGCUAACUCCGUGCCAGCAGCCGCGGUAAUUC
rnacentral:rRNA from 1 species